AAUCAACGCUGGCGGCGUGCCUAACACAUGCAAGUCGAACGAGAAAGUGGCAGCAAUGCCAUGAGUACAGUGGCGCACGGGUGAGUAACACGUGACUAACCUACCCAGGAGUGGGGAAUAACUUCGGGAAACCGAGGCUAAUACCGCAUAACACCUACGGGUCAAAGGAGCAAUUCGCUUCUGGAGGGGGUCGCGGCCGAUUAGUUAGUUGGCAGGGUAAUGGCCUACCAAGACGAUGAUCGGUAUCCGGCCUGAGAGGGCGCACGGACACACUGGAACUGAAACACGGUCCAGACUCCUACGGGAGGCAGCAGUGGGGAAUUUUGCGCAAUGGGGGAAACCCUGACGCAGCAACGCCGCGUGGAGGAUGAAGUCCUU
rnacentral:rRNA from 1 species